GAUGAACGCUGGCGGCGUGCCUAAUACAUGCAAGUCGAGCGAACGGACGAGAAGCUUGCUUCUCUGAUGUUAGCGGCGGACGGGUGAGUAACACGUGGAUAACCUACCUAUAAGACUGGGAUAACUUCGGGAAACCGGAGCUAAUACCGGAUAAUAUUUUGAACCGCAUGGUUCAAAAGUGAAAGACGGUCUUGCUGUCACUUAUAGAUGGAUCCGCGCUGCAUUAGCUAGUUGGUAAGGUAACGGCUUACCAAGGCAUCGAUGCAUAGCCGACCUGAGAGGGUGAUCGGCCACACUGGAACUGAGACACGGUCCAGACUCCUACGGGAGGCAGCAGUAGGGAAUCUUCCGCAAUGGGCGAAAGCCUGACGGAGCAACGCCGCGUGAGUGAUGAAGGUCUUCGGAUCGUAAAACUCUGUUAUUAGGGAAGAACAUAUGUGUAAGUAACUGUGCACAUCUUGACGGUACCUAAUCAGAAAGCCACGGCUAACUACGUG
rnacentral:rRNA from 1 species